rnacentral:rRNA from 1 species
UCGGCUUAGAGUUUGAUCAUGGCUCAGAUUGAACGCUGGCGGCAGGCUUAACACAUGCAAGUCGAACGGUAAAGUAGCUUGCUACUUACGAGUGGCGGACGGGUGAGUAACGUAUGGGAAUUUACCGAAUGGAGGGGGACAACAGUUGGAAACGGCUGCUAAUACCGCAUAACGUCGAGAGACCAAAGGGUUUCGACUUGCCAUUUGAUGAGCCCAUAUGAGAUUAGCUAGUUGGUGUGGUAAUGGCUCACCAAGGCGACGAUCUCUAGCUGGUUUGAGAGGAUGACCAGCCACACUGGGACUGAGACACGGCCCAGACUCCUACGGGAGGCAGCAGUGGGGAAUAUUGCACAAUGGGGGGAACCCUGAUGCAGCCAUGCCGCGUGUAUGAAGAAGGCCUUAGGGUUGUAAAGUACUUUCGGGGAGGAGGAAGGGUUUACGUAAUCGUGGACAUUGACGUUACUCCCA